UACGUAGGGUGCAAGCGUUGUCCGGAAUUAUUGGGCGUAAAGAGCGUGUAGGCGGCCAGGUAGGUCUGCUGUGAAAACUCGAGGCUCAACCUCGAGACGUCGGCGGAAACCAUCUGGCUAGAGUCCGGAAGAGGAGAGUGGAAUUCCUGGUGUAGCGGUGAAAUGCGCAGAUAUCAGGAGGAACACCAAUGGCGAAGGCAGCUCGCUGGGACGUAACUGACGCUGAGACGCGAAAGCGUGGGGAGCAAACAGG
rnacentral:rRNA from 1 species